rnacentral:RNase_P_RNA from 1 species
GUAGAUAGUGCGAUGGUUGCUUAAUCAAGUAUUAAGAGGAAAGUCCGGGCUCCAUUGGAGCGCAAAACCAGGCAAUACCUGGCAAAGGUGACUUUAGGGAUAGUGCAACAGAAAAUAAACCGCCUAUUUAAUAUAGGUAAGGGUGAAAAGGUGAGGUAAGAGCUCACCGCUUGUGUGGUAACAUACAAGGCAUUGCAAACCCUUUUGGGAGCAAGGCCAAAUAGGAAUAAUUAAAACCAGGUUCCAGGUUAUGUUAUUCGGGUAGGCUGCUUGAGGUAAAUGGCGACAUUUAUCCUAGAUGAAUGACCAUCAAAUUUCAUUUAAAUUGAAAUUACAGAACCCGGCUUAUACGCUAUCUACUUUA